rnacentral:lncRNA from 7 species
UACUGUUUGUGCUCUAACCAAUUUUACAGAAACUCUACUACUGUUUGUACAACAAUCCUUUCUAUAUUUAGACGGUUACUGUAGCGCAGAUGCAACGCAUCUCCAUUACUUGCAAGCUACAGCUAGGUUUUGUUAAUUUAUAUGCUGCUGCUAACUUGACGAGUGAGAUGUACCUGAUGAGAACGGUUCAGGAGAUUCGUAAAGGCGUGCAGCUCAGCUUAGGCUGAUUCGUGAAGCUGGUGGUUGUGUCAGGUGAGAGGCGCCGCGCUUGGCUCGCGACCGUCUGGCGACGUAGCCAGGUGAGGUGCGGCGUGAAGCGCUCGUCCAGGCGUGGACAGCUCGCGGUGGUGGAGGACCUGGGGGCGACGGCGGUGGUGGGACGGACUCUACCUGAGGGGCGACGGCGGCGGGACGGACCGUGUGGGGCAACGACGACGGACGCUAUAACCGGUAGCUCUUCCAUGUAUCAUCAGGGAGUCUCGCCUCUGAUGUUUCCGGUACCGGUAUUUAUGAAUCAGGAUUGAUUAUGUUUUGUACUGUUCUUGAGUGUACGAUCAGUUCGUAAUACAAUAGCUUUAUAGAUUUUAUGUUAG